CAAAAGUUUAUAACCAAGGCAGGUUUGGAUAUUCUAAGCUUGCUCUAAACUUUCUGUGGUUUCGAUUAUGUUAUAUUGUUUAAAAAAUAUAACGAAGUUUUGAAGAGGUCAGGACACUUCAGAGUUGUAAAACAAACUCUCUAACGUUUUUGACAACAUCUGGGGGAACAUGGGAAACUCAAGAACGAAACCCAUGGAAGAGAGAUCGACAUGGUUAGGCGAACACGAAGCUGAUUUCUGUCAUGGUCCGGAAUCCGAUUUACACAAAAACGCUGAGGAAUGCAAGAAGAAUCCAGGACAUAAAGAUUUUAUUCCGGUGAAGGAUUUUACUAUAAAUUCACUUCCUGGGGCGUACCAGGAUUCAAUGAUGUAUGAACUGAUUCAGACAAUGGCGUCCUUAACUGUGAAAGUCAAAGUGACAUUUACUAGUAUGGGGAGACCGAAGUUCUACGGGAAUACAAAAGUAAGGUAUCCGUUUUAUGGAAGUAGGGGUAGCGGAUUAUUGAGGGUGGGCACGGGUAGGGUGUGGCGAGU